rnacentral:tRNA from 1 species
AGUAUCAAGCCGGACUUAACGGAUUACCCUGAUGAGGUAAAAUAUGGGCCUCAAUCCUGAUACCU